UCGUGGUGUGACUGCGUACCUUUUGUAUAAUGGGUCAGCGACUUAUAUUCUGUAGCAAGGUUAACCGUAUAGGGGAGCCGAAGGGAAACCGAGUCUUAACUGGGCGUUAAGUUGCAGGGUAUAGACCCGAAACCCGGUGAUCUAGCCAUGGGCAGGUUGAAGGUUGGGUAACACUAACUGGAGGACCGAACCGACUAAUGUUGAAAAAUUAGCGGAUGACUUGUGGCUGGGGGUGAAAGGCCAAUCAAACCGGGAGAUAGCUGGUUCUCCCCGAAAGCUAUUUAGGUAGCGCCUCGUGAACUCAUCUUCGGGGGUAGAGCACUGUUUCGGCUAGGGGGCCAUCCCGGCUUACCAACCCGAUGCAAACUACGAAUACCGAAGAAUGUUAUCACGGGAGACACACGGCGGGUGCUAACGUCCGUCGUGAAGAGGGAAACAACCCAGACCGCCAGCUAAGGUCCCAAAGUCAUGGUUAAGUGGGAAACGAUGUGGGAAGGCACAGACAGCCAGGAUGUUGGCUUAGAAGCAGCCAUCAUUUAAAGAAAGCGUAAUAGCUCACUGGUCGAGUCGGCCUGCGCGGAAGAUGUAACGGGGCUAAACCAUGCACCGAAGCUGCGGCAGCGACGCUUAGGCGUUGUUGGGUAGGGGAGCGUUCUGUAAGCCGUUGA
rnacentral:rRNA from 1 species